rnacentral:sRNA from 1 species
GCCAGGCUGCUGUAAAAGCACAAGCCAAUGUGCUUUCCUCUGAAGAGGGGUUAGCAGCGAGCAGCGCCAUGCCGCAGGGCAGGGGUGCUGCAGAAAAGGCCGGUAAAUAUGCCGGUAAA